rnacentral:rRNA from 1 species
AUACGGAGGGUGCAAGCGUUAUUCGGAAUCACUGGGCGUAAAGGACGCGUAGGCGGGUUGGCAAGUCAGAUGUGAAAUCCUACAGCUUAACUGUAGAACUGCAUUUGAAACUGCUAACCUAGAGUAUGGGAGGGGGAGAUGGAAUUAGUGUUGUAGGGGUAAAAUCCGUAGAUAUCACUAGGAAUACCGAAAGCGAAGGCGAUCUCCUGGAACAUAACUGACGCUAAGGCGUGAAAGCGUGGGGAGCAAACAGGAUUAGAAACCCUAGUAGUCC